GAUGAACGCUGGCGGCGUGCCUAAUACAUGCAAGUCGAGCGAACAGACGAGGAGCUUGCUCCUCUGACGUUAGCGGCGGACGGGUGAGUAACACGUGGAUAACCUACCUAUAAGACUGGGAUAACUUCGGGAAACCGGAGCUAAUACCGGAUAAUAUAUUGAACCGCAUGGUUCAAUAGUGAAAGACGGUUUUGCUGUCACUUAUAGAUGGAUCCGCGCCGCAUUAGCUAGUUGGUAAGGUAACGGCUUACCAAGGCAACGAUGCGUAGCCGACCUGCGAGGGUGAUCGGCCACACUGGAGCUGAGACACGGUCCAGACUCCUGCGGGAGGCAGCAGUAGGGAAUCUUCCGCAAUGGGCGAAAGCCUGACGGAGCAACGCCGCGUGAGUGAUGAAGGUCUUCGGAUCGUAAAACUCUGUUAUUAGGGAAGAACAAAUGUGUAAGUAACUAUGCACGUCUUGACGGUACCUAAUCAGAAAGCCACGGCUAACUACGUG
rnacentral:rRNA from 1 species